UACGGGGGGGGCAAGCGUUGUUCGGAAUUACUGGGCGUAAAGGGCUCGUAGGUGGCCAACUAAGUCAGACGUGAAAUCCCUCAGCUUAACUGGGGAACUGCGUCUGAUACUGGAUGGCUUGAGUUUGGGAGAGGGACGCGGAAUUCCAGGUGUAGCGGUGAAAUGCGUAGAUAUCAGGAGGAACACCGGUGGCGAAGGCGGGUCUCUGGGCCGUAACUGACGCUGAGGAGCGAAAGCGUGGGGAGCGAACAGG
rnacentral:rRNA from 1 species